rnacentral:rRNA from 1 species
AACUUUCAACAACGGAUCUCUUGGUUCUGGCAUCGAUGAAGAACGCAGCGAAAUGCGAUAAGUAAUGUGAAUUGCAGAAUUCAGGGAAUCAUCGAAUCUUUGAACGCACAUUGCGCCCUUUGGUAUUCCGAGGGGCAUGUCUGUUCGAGCGUCAUUU